GUUUGCUUCAACCAUGGCAUAGAGAUUUGAUUUGUAAAGUUGCAUCAUUUGGCUUUUGGUAUUGAUGUAUGUAUGCGGACACCGUGCAUAUUUUUUAUUUGCUCUUUUAAUGUUUGUGUUAUCAAUUUAUGUUGCUUUAAAGUGGACAAACCUUCAAAUUCUUUAUCUUCCACAAACACCUCAAACAUAGCACCACAACCUCCAGAUACAUCUACAACGUUGACGUUUGCCUAUAAGAGAAAUCUGCCAGUUAAUAACUGGUGUAUUUGCUGCUGGGCGUUGUUUUGUUGAACUGACGAUAAAAAUCGUGUUAAAAUCGAGGUAAUUCCACGCAAACGGCUCAUUAUAACCAUAAAUUUCAACCAGAACAAAUGAACAUGAAAUUGUAAUAUGAAGAGGAUAUGAAUAUCUAUUUGUUUUUCUUCAUACAUUCGAUUAUCCGAAUGCCUAUCGACAACAAUUAGUCCGGUUAAUCGAGUUUCUACUGUAUUUCAAUUCGAUAUUGAAAUGGAUAAAAAAAUGUGUACUCAGAAAUAUGUAUGGUCAGAUUCGCUCACGUGUACUCUUUAUAAUUUGUCAAUUGCCACAUACUAUACGUUUAUAUUCUGUUUAAGCUUAGCUGGAAUUCAUUAAUAUGUUAACAGUAACCACAUAAACAUAGCGGUUUCUAUUCUAGACCCUAAAUUGGAAAAGCAACCUCGACAGGCAAAGAGUGUUCUGAAAAGGAUUAUAUUUCAUAAAUUAAUCAGUAGAAAGAAUUCGCAUUAAUUUAAGAGAUGGAUAUGAAUUUUAAUUGUUAGAGCCUUUGAGAAAUUAAAUAAAAUCAUCAAUCGAUUUGACAGUUUUGGUUUAAUGCAUAUUAUUCAAAGAUUCAAAAAAAAAAAAUAUUUCAGGUUAAUAAAAUUAAUGUAAAUCCGCUUGUCAUUUAAAAUAUGUACGAGUAUAUAGAUGAUGAUAGCGGUAUUCAAAAUAUAACGGAUGAAUUAAGUUUGCUAUUGAUUCAUAUUAUUCUUGUAUUAUUUUUAAUAGUAUGUCAUGUACUCUUUAUACAUACAUACAUACAUGAAUAACGUAAGAAAAGUUUCAUAUCAUAUAUAGGUGUUCCUGGUGCUCCAUACAGUGCAGCAGCGCUAACAAGAACUUUUCUGCUAUUUUCGCACACAUUUUUUCGCAUUUAAAUAAAUUUUGUAAAACCUAACGAUUUCUUUUUGUUUAUGCAUUGUUUAUGUUUUUCUAUGAAAAUGUGCCAAUUAAUGCUUUCGGCAUUUUUUUUGUUUAAUGGCGAUAAUAAAGAAUAUUGCGACAAGUAAUAAGAACCGUUUGCAAUUGAAAUAGCACGCACAAUGUGUUAAAUUAUAUACUUAGAAGUGUAUAAUUGUGGAAUUGAAGCUACUGGGUAAGAAUACAGCAUUUUUAAUUUGCUUAAACAUAAAAAAGUAGUUGCGCUCAAAAGCUCAUUAAAGAAAGAAUUAUUCACUAAUAAUACCUCUUCAUUAUCCAAGCCGAGCUGUAAAACAUUGGACACAUAAAAAAUUACAAAAAUUAAACAUACAAAAGGUUUGAAAAUAUUUGCACAAUUAUUUAGAUAAUAUAUGUAUGUACUUUGCUUUAGUCCCAAAAAUUACUUUUUUUAACAAUUUGCUUAAUUUAUCUUUAUCGUGUUUAAAAUUAUGUAUUUAAGAAAAUUACAAAGUGGUGUGGUUCACCUUGCUCAGGUGUUGACCGAGCUGUACAGCUAAACAAUUUUUUAGUAUGGACAUUACUCUUUUAUAAUGUAAAUAUGUAUGUAUAUUUAUGUAUAUUUAGUCUUUUCGGAAAUGUAUUUGUGCCCAUACAUACAUACAUAUGUAUAUGGGAUAUGAGAACAAUUCCCUUUGAAAAUAUAUAAUGGUUACGAGACCAUACGUGUGCUAUUUAUUAUUGCCGGUUCAGUUAUGUACAUGUGUAUAUAUGUAUAUAUUAUACAUAUGUACCCAUUAUAUAUAUAUGUAUGUAUAUCUAAUUAAAGUUUAUAUGUUUAUUCAAUCCUACUAUGUAAUAUUAUAUACAAUAAAAGCGAAGAAAUGCUCCUUGGUCUACUC